UACGUAGGGAGCAAGCGUUGUCCGGAAUCAUUGGGCGCAAAGCGCGCGUAGGUGGCCUCAUAAGUCCGCUGUGAAAGUCAAAGGCUCAACCUUUGAAAGCCGGUGGAUACUGUGAGGCUAGAGUACGGAAGAGGCGAGUGGAAUUCCUGGUGUAGCGGUGGAAUGCGCAGAUAUCAGGAGGAACACCAAUAGCGAAGGCAGCUCGCUGGGACGUUACUGACACUGAGGCGCGAAAGCGUGGGGAGCGAACAGG
rnacentral:rRNA from 1 species